GACGAACGCUGGCGGCGUGCUUAACACAUGCAAGUCGAGCGGUAAGGCCCUUUCGGGGGUACACGAGCGGCGAACGGGUGAGUAACACGUGGGUGACCUGCCCUCAGCUCUGGGAUAAGCCUGGGAAACUGGGUCUAAUACCGGAUAUGACUCCAUAACGCAUGUUGUGGGGUGGAAAGCCUUGUGCGGCUGAGGAUGGGCCCGCGGCCUAUCAGCUUGUUGGUGGGGUGAUGGCCUACCAAGGCGACGACGGGUAGCCGGCCUGAGAGGGCGACCGGCCACACUGGGACUGAGACACGGCCCAGACUCCUACGGGAGGCAGCAGUGGGGAAUCUUGCGCAAUGGGCGAAAGCCUGACGCAGCGACGCCGCGUGA
rnacentral:rRNA from 1 species